UAACACACCCCUUAACUGUUGCUAUGAUUUAUCCUAUUAGGAUCUUUCUUUGUCUAGCUGCCCAAUUUCUUACCCUGAUGGCACAUCCUGGGUGACAUGUUCCUGGUGGGAUCAGCUCUCACAUUCACCCCAGAAGAGGAGGGAGGAAAAGGGUCUAAAGGAGGCUGGAAGUUGGCAGCCUGUUGUGAGCGAGAAAAUCCUAAGCAUGCUCUCAGUUUCUCACCAAGAUGGAAUUUUGAUACCGGCCGAGUACUAUAAAAAAGAUUAAAACUUCACAUGCAAAAUUACACAAAUAAAGACAGC